rnacentral:rRNA from 1 species
CCUACGGGAGGCAGCAGUGAGGAAUAUUGGUCAAUGGGCGAGAGCCUGAACCAGCCAAGUCGCGUGAAGGAUGACGGCCCUACGGGUUGUAAACUUCUUUUGUCAGGGAGCAAUUGAGUCCACGUGUGGUCUUAGCGAGAGUACCUGAAGAAAAAGCAUCGGCUAACUCCGUGCCAGCAGCCGCGGUAAUACGGAGGAUGCGAGCGUUAUCCGGAUUUAUUGGGUUUAAAGGGUGCGUAGGCGGGCUUUUAAGUCAGCGGUAAAAAUUCGGGGCUCAACCCCGUCCGGCCGUUGAAACUGGGGGCCUUGAGUGGGCGAGAAGAAGGCGGAAUGCGUGGUGUAGCGGUGAAAUGCAUAGAUAUCACGCAGAACCCCGAUUGCGAAGGCAGCCUUCCGGCGCCCUACUGACGCUGAGGCACGAAAGUGCGGGGAUCGAACAGGAUUAGAUACCCCUGUAGUC